rnacentral:rRNA from 1 species
AUUGAACGCUGGCGGCAGGCUUAACACAUGCAAGUCGAGCGGGGUGAUGGUGCUUGCACUAUCACUUAGCGGCGGACGGGUGAGUAAUGCUUAGGAAUCUGCCUAUUAGUGGGGGACAACAUCUCGAAAGGGAUGCUAAUACCGCAUACGUCCUACGGGAGAAAGCAGGGGAUCACUUGUGACCUUGCGCUAAUAGAUGAGCCUAAGUCGGAUUAGCUAAGUUGGUGGGGUAAAGGCCUACCAAGGCGACGAUCUGUAGCGGGUCUGAGAGGAUGAUCCGCAACGCAGGGACUGAGACACGGCCCAGACUCCUACGGGAGGCAGCAGUGGGGAAUAUUGGACAAUGGGGGGAACCCUGAUCCAGCCAUGCCGCGUGUGUGAAGAAGGCCUUAUGGUUGUAAAGCACUUUAAGCGAGGAGGAGGCUCUUUUGGUUAAUACCCAAGAUGAGUGGACGUUACUCGCAGAAUAAGCACCGGCUAACUCUGUGCCAGCAGCCGCCGUAA